UCUAGUAAAGCAUAUCAAUGCAUAUUCAUCAUGGAAAAAGUACUAAAAGAAAAAUAAAAAAGAAAAAAGAAAAAAAAUGAAAGCGUGAAUAGUAAAGGAGGCGCAAAGAUGAUGAAACAUUACAGGAAGCAAAAUGAUUAAUCAUUGAAUCAAAGAUGAAUGAACGUCACCGUGCACCGCUUCAUUAAAAAAAAUAUCCAAAGAUCCAUUAAAGCGUGUUCUCAUUCUCAAGGCCAAAUGAUUGCAGCGUUUUUCUUUUCUCCAAAAUAAAUAUCCAAGAUCCAUUAAAGUAGAGCACGUCUCCUCUUCAAACGAAGCAAAGAAAAAUUGAUUGCUAGACUGCCAAUAUUACCCGUG
rnacentral:lncRNA from 1 species